UACAGAGGGUGCAAGCGUUAAUCGGAAUUACUGGGCGUAAAGCGUGCGUAGACGGUUAUGUAAGUCGGGUGUGAAAGCCCCGGGCUCAACCUGGGAAUUGCAUUCGAGACUGUGUAGCUAGGGUACGGAAGAGGGAAGCGGAAUUUCAGGUGUAGCGGUGAAAUGCGUAGAUAUCGUGAGGAAGACCAGUGGCGAAGGCGGGUCUCUGGACAGUUCCUGACGCUGAGGCGCGAAGGCCAGGGGAGCAAACGGG
rnacentral:rRNA from 1 species